rnacentral:rRNA from 1 species
AAAGGGGCUUCGGCUCCGAGUAAAGUGGCGCACGGGUGAGUAACACGUGGGUAACCUGCCUCUAAGAUUGGGACAACUCGUCGAAAGAUGAGCUAAUACCGAAUAAGACCACAGUUCCUGCGGGAACAGCGGUCAAAGGUAGCCUCUGCUUGCAAGCUAUCACUUAGAGAUGGGCCUGCGCACCAUUAGCUAGUUGGUAGGGUAACGGCCUACCAAGGCAAAGAUGGUUAGCUGGUCUGAGAGGAUGAUCAGCCACACUGGAACUGAGACACGGUCCAGACUCCUACGGGAGGCAGCAGUGGGGAAUAUUGCGCAAUGGGCGAAAGCUUGACGCAGCAACGCCGCGUGAGUGAUGAAGGCCUUCGGG